rnacentral:rRNA from 1 species
AAUCAACGCUGGCGGCGUGCCUAACACAUGCAAGUCGAACGAGAAGGUGACUUCGGUCACUGGAUAGUGGCGUCCGGGUGAGUAACACGUAGGUAAUCUACCUUCGGGUGGGGAAUAACGUCUCGAAAGAGACGCUAAUACCGCAUAAUGCAGCGGCACCUAAUGGUGAUUAGUUGUUAAAGCGGGGGAGUCUUCGGACCUCGCGCCUGAAGAGGAGCCUGCGGCAGAUAGCUAGUUGGUGAGGUAAUGGCUCACCAAGGCUUCGAUCUGUAGCUGGUCUGAGAGGACGGCCAGCCACACUGGCACUGACACACGGGCCAGACUCCUACGGGAGGCAGCAGUGGGGAAUUUUGGGCAAUGGGCGAAAGCCUGACCCAGCAACGCCGCGUGAAGGAGGAAAUCCUUCGGGAUGUAAACUUCAUAAGUAAGGGAAGAAAGCUGCGGAUCGAAUAAGUCCGCAGUCCGACGGUACCUUACGUAAGCCACGGCUAACUACGUGCCA